AUUGAACGCUGGCGGCAUGCCUUACACAUGCAAGUCGAACGGUAACGGGCCUUCGGGUGCCGACGAGUGGCGCACGGGUGAGUAAUACAUCGGAACGUGCCCGAUCGUGGGGGAUAACGAGGCGAAAGCUUUGCUAAUACCGCAUCCGAUCUACGGCUGAAAGCAGGGGACCGCAAGGCCUUGCGCGGACGGAGCGGCCUAUGGCAGAUUAGGUAGUUGGUGGGAUAAAAGCUUACCAAGCCGACGAUCUGUAGCUGGUCUGAGAGGAUGAUCAGCCACACUGGGACUGAGACACGGCCCAGACUCCUACGGGAGGCAGCAGUGGGGAAUUUUGGACAAUGGGCGCAAGCCUGAUCCAGCCAUGCCGCGUGCAGGAUGAAGGCCUUCGGGUUGUAAACUGCUUUUGUACGGAACGAAAAGCCUUCUUUUAAUACAGGAGGGUCAUGACGGUACCGUAAGAAUAAGCACCGGCUAACUACGUG
rnacentral:rRNA from 1 species